rnacentral:lncRNA from 1 species
AGUGUGUGCCUUGUGCUGAAGCUGGCCAUCAUUAUGCCAAUUUGGAAGCAUGUAAACUGGCCUCAUAAAAUGUCCACCAGAACCGAUGGAGGCAAUGGACGGUGAUGACGUUUGAUUCUUUCCCUCCACACUCUCCUUCCACUUCUCUACAGUCUCCCCACCGCUUAUCGAGGGAUUCAGGACUGCAGACCAGGCAAACAUCCGUGGCUUUCAGAUGUAACUUUGCCAGGAUGGACAGGCAUGUUCUAAGUGCCCUGAGUGAGGACAGAGGGAAACUCGAUGUCUCCUGCCGUACCACACCUGGUGUGGAUGGGAUGAUGACCACCCCCAAGGAAACACCUGAUGCUCUCUGGUCCAAAGGAAACGUUCUCGGUCCUGAGUUUCCUCUGUGAUCCCCUGGUUCACUUCAGCUGCUGGGUCUCCGCUCUCUGCCUUCUCGUAUUCCUCUUGGCCCAAAGAGAUGGACACCUGGGUACCAGAGAGAGUACAUUGUAUUAUUUUACAAGGAAACUCAAAGCAGAGCAACAUGACACAGGAGCUUCAAACCACUGACAUAAGGCAGAAAAAGUACUUUUUCUCCAAAGUUCAAGUAUUCAGGUAUCUUUUUUCCCUUUCCCUGGUAUGAGAAUUCAUUAAUCCAUUUUAUUUAUCCCUUCCAGGAACUUCUGGCGUACCCUGCCACAUUUUACAACUACAGACAAUGCUUUUGAUUUAUACUGUUGCUCUCAAUGUAGAAGUCUUUAUUUUCUCUUCUUUCUCUUUUGCUCAGGCAUCAUGGAGUUGGCACCAAGUAUGAAAGUCUAGAUCAGGGGUCAGCAACCUACAGCCCAUCAGCCAAAUCUGGCUCAUUGCCUGAUUUUUUAAAUAAAACUUUAUCGAACUGCA